AAAUCCAAAAACUGCAAGUCAAUCCUACAAUGUCAAAAUAAAUACGCAAUAUAGCUUGUUUUCGUUACUAUCAUAUUUGUAAAAAAUUUAGAAAUAAUAUAUCAAAUUGAAUGAAGGAUAGUGUUGGUUUUGGCUUUUCUAUCUUAUGAUUUUUUUUUUUAAAAAAAGAAAGCUAUUAUAGAAUAUAGAAGCUAACACUAACUAACAUAUUCUUAAACGUUAAUCGUGAAAUCAUUUUAUACAAUGGUAUCACAAACAAAAUCCAAGAGAACUGAACUUUAAUAGAAAAGCGAGAUAAAAAAGAAGUUGUGGUGGUGAGAAGCAUCGAUAGCCCUUAAU
rnacentral:lncRNA from 1 species